CUUCGAUCACUGCCACCUGCAUGCCCCCUAGUGGGGAUUGAGCCCCAAACCUGGCAUUUACCCUAUCUGGGAAUUGAAUGGUAAAUUCAUGGUUCAUGGGUUGAUGCUCAACCACUGAGCCACACCAGCCAGGCAUUUUUUUACUUAAAUUUC